GUUCAUUACUACUGAGCCAUGAAGGGAACUCCCCAAAAGACAUUUCUUAAUAAACAAAACAGGAACUGUGUCUAGAACAUUAUCAACUAACUGUCUAUUUCUUAAGGGGUCAUUGCAGAUUUUAUGAGGCCAUCUCAUUUUAGUUUAGGGUAACCAGAAAAACAAAAAGAAAUAUGAUCCAUAACAGUUUAAAUGAAGAAGAUGUGGGCUGAGAAACCAAACCAGUAAUGAAGUUAUCCUGAAUCCCAGAAGGGGAAAUCCCUGCCUUAGAAGUUGGUGCAGGAGUACUAAGUACUGAUUGUACUAAGAAGCAAUCUCCACUUAGUUACACGGAAAUUAUGCUGUUCUUUUUCAUUAUCAAGACAAUCCAAAGGAAACGUCUAAAAAAAAUGCACCCCCAUCCCAUAUAGUUCAUUUUAUUGCAAAAAUGCCACUCAUUUGACCUCAGAAACAGAGACACUGUAUUCCAGAAAUGGUAUCUCAGUCUAUUUUACUUGUGAAAAAGUAUCCUACAGGCAAGGAAAGUCCUGUGUAUUACUCAGUAAAAAUUGGCUGAAUGAAUCUGCCCUGAGAAAAAAUUUCUUUUUUAAGGGGGUUAAAUGAUACAAAAUAAUGACUUAGUGUUGUAGUAAAAUGUUGUUAAUUUUAUUAAAAGCAGAUUCCAUUUCUUCACAUAGUUAUGUAAAGUUUUGUGGGUUUUUUCUUUUUAAGCCCAUUUUAUUGUAUGACUUCAUAAGGGUAAGUUGGUUCAGUGAGCCUGUCACUGAUAAAGACACGUACAAACCCAAAUCCAGAGAAUUAAUGAAUUAGCAACAAAGGGGGAUGCCAACAACAAAUCGCACAACAUUUUAUUUUUAGAGAGAAUUCAUUCCAAGCUGGCAGAUGUCAAUCACAACAUUCAUCCUACUUUGUACAGGCACAACCCUAUUUCUCAGAGGAAGGGCCGAAGUUCUGGCACCACUGGAACAAUUUCUACUCCAACGUGUUCUAGUGCAGCUCUUGAUCACUGACCUUCCAAGCUAUGCUGAGGAAUAAUCAUACAUGUGGGGCUUCAUACAUGAAUAAGUGUUCAGACACCCACACACAUUCAGUUUGGAUUCCCAGCAAUAGCCUCUGAGACCUUUGACUUCUUUACCAUUUUGUAUUAAUAUGUAGAAAAGCAUUCUGAAAAUAGGAGAUCUAGUUUAUAAAUAAUCGUUCAUUCACUCUCGACUAGUUGUUAAAACCAACAACUCUCGUGACAUUUCACGUGGUUAUAGCAAUUGAGAAUU
rnacentral:lncRNA from 1 species